rnacentral:rRNA from 1 species
UACAGAGGUCCCAAGCGUUGUUCGGAUUCACUGGGCAUAAAGAGCGCGUAGGCGGUCUGACAAGUCCCCUGUGAAAGCCCCCGGCUUAACCGGGGAACUGCAUGGGAUACUGUUGGGCUAGAGUGCAGGAGGGGAGAGCGGAAUUCCUGGUGGAGCGGUGAAAUGCGUAGAUAUCAGGAGGAACGCCGGCGGCGAAAGCGACUCUCUGGCCUGUAACUGACGCUGAGGCGCGAAAGCUAGGGGAGCAAACGGG